AGUCAAGAAAGCAAGGGCACAAGGUGGAUGCCUUGGCACAUGAAGGCGAGAAAGGACGUAAGUGAACGAAAACUAGGGUAAGCUCACAAAAAGCAUUGACCCCUAGGUCUCCGAAUGGGGCAACCCGGUUGUGGAAGACACAAUCAUUACUAAGUGAAUACAUAGCUUAGUAAGGCGAUACCCUGCGAACUGAAACAUCUAAGUAGCAGGAGGAAAAGAAAGAAACAUCGAUUUUCUAAGUAGCGGCGAGCGAAAGGAAAAGAGCCUAACUCAUUAGCGAUUUGUUAAAGUUAGUCAAAUUAUCUGAAAAGAUAAACCAAAGAAAGUGAAAGUCUUGUAGACGAAAACAUUAAUAAACGAGAGGGAAAGUAUCACCGGGCACGAGUAACCCGGUGUGAAGAUAGGGGGCCCAUCCCCUAAGGCUAAAUACUAACAUGUGACCGAUAGUGAACAAGUACCGUGAGGGAAAGGUGAAAAGAACCCCGAAAGGGGAGUGAAAUAGAACCUGAAACCUAGUGCCUACAAGCAGACAGAGCGUGAGCGAACGUGAUGUCGUACCUUUUGUAGAAUGGGCCAGCGAGUUAUUCUAAAUUGCAAGGUUAAUGAUUUAAGAUCAGAAGCCGCAGCGAAAGCGAGUCUUAAUAGGGCGAAAGUAAGUUAGAAUAGACCCGAAACCGGGUGAUCUAUCCAUGGUCAGAGUGAAGUUGAAGUAAAAUUCAAUGGAGGCUCGAACCGGGUGCGGUUUAAAACGCAUCGGAUGAACUGUGGAUAGGGGCGAAAAACCAAACGAACCCGGAGAUAGCUGGUUCUCCUCGAAAUAGCUUUAGGGCUAGCCUCUGACCUAAGAUUUUAGGAGGUAGAGCACUGAAUGGUCUAGGGCGGAGAUCCGUACCAAAACCUAUCAAACUCCGAAUGCCAAAAAAUCAAGUCAGGGAGUCAGACUUAGGGGGAUAAGCUUCUAAGUCGAAAGGGAAACAGCCCAGACCGACAGCUAAGGUCCCAAAAUUUGAAUUAAGUGGAAAAGGAUGUGAAUCUACUAAGACAACCAGGACGUUGGCUUAGAAGCAGCCAUGCAUUUAAAGAAUGCGUAAUAGCUCACUGGUCAAGUGGGUUUGCGCCGAAAAUGAACGGGGCUCAAAUUCAAUACCGAAGCUUCGGAUUAAUAGAGGGAUUAAGUUUACAAAUGAGACUAGGAAAUAUUUAACAAAAACAGAAGAGAUUAAGAAAAUACAAAUUUCAGACGCAGACAUAAAAGAUAGGAUAUUAAAAAAGAAAAAUAUUCAAAAAACACAAGUCUAAAGUCAAAAGUGAGUAACAUAAGAAAUUAUGAACUAACAAUCACUGGUUAGAGUUAAAAAACUAGGACUCAUAGCUAAACUUAAUACCUCUAUUAGUGGUAGAGGAGCAUUGUAUUAGAGACGAAGCCAAGGCGAAAGCAAAAGUGGAUCUAAUACAAGAGAGAAUGCUGGCAUGAGUAGCGAGAAGGGAUGUGAGAAUCAUCCCCGUCGAAACCCUAAGGACUCCUGAGCAAGGCUCGUCCCCUCAGGGAAAGUCGGGACCUAAGCCAAGGCCGAAAGGCGUAGGCGAUGGAUAACAGGUUUAUAUUCCUGUACCGCUUGAAGUCGUUAAGAGAGAAGUGAUGACGCAAAAGGAUAAGCAAAGCCAUCAGAUGGAAAAGAUGGUCUAAAGCCGUAGGAAGAAAAGUAGGCAAAUCCGCUUUUCACAAAUUCUAAAAGCCGAUAGGUAUCGAAAACAUAAGUAGAGAAGUUGCCGAUUCCAAGUUGCCAAGAAAAGUCACUAUCCAGACCAAAGCGCCCGUACCAAAACCGACACAGGUAGGGAGGUAGAGAAUACCAAGACGCGCGGAAGAACCUUUGUUAAGGAACUCGGCAAAAUGUCCCCGUAACUUCGGGAGAAGGGGAGCCAUAGCAAUAUGGCCACAGAAACCAGGCCCAAGCGACUGUUUACCAAAAACACAAGUUUCUGCAAAAUCGCAAGAUGAAGUAUAGGAGCUGACACCUGCCCGGUGCUGGAAGGUUAAGGGGAAGGCUUAGAGCAAUCGAAGGCUAGAACUUAAGGUAGCGAAAUUCCUUGUCGGGUAAGUUCCGACCCGCACGAAAGGUGUAACGAUUUGGGCACUGUCUCAACAAAGGAUCCGGUGAAAUUGUAGUAGUCGUGAAGAUGCGACUUACCCACGCUAGGACGGAAAGACCCCGUGGAGCUUUACUGUAGGCUGAUAUUGGAUUUUGAGAUUAAAUGUACAGGAUAGUUGGGAGACUGAGAUAUCUGGAUGCCAAUCUAGGAGGAGUCACUGGUGGGAUACCAACCUUUUAAUAUCAAAGUUCUAACCAUAGCCCUUGAAUCAGGGCAUGGGACAUUGUCAGUUGGGCAGUUUGACUGGGGCGGUCGCCUCCUAAAAAGUAACGGAGGCGUUCAAAGGUUCGCUCAGAAUGGACGGAAACCAUUCGCAGAGUAUAAAGGCAGAAGCGAGCUUAACUGCGAGAGCUACAACUCAAGCAGAGUCGAAAGACGGACUUAGUGAUCCGGUGGUACCGCAUGGAAGGGCCAUCGCUCAACGGAUAAAAGCUACCCCGGGGAUAACAGGCUUAUCUCCCCCAAGAGUCCACAUCGACGGGGAGGUUUGGCACCUCGAUGU
rnacentral:rRNA from 1 species